GACGAACGCUGGCGGCGUGCUUAACACAUGCAAGUCGAACGGAAAGGCCCUGCUUGCAGGGUACUCGAGUGGCGAACGGGUGAGUAACACGUGGGUGAUCUGCCCUGCACUUCGGAAUAAGCCUGGGAAACUGGGUCUAAUACCGGAUAGGAGCCAUUUUUAGUGUGAUGGUUGGAAAGUUUUUUCGGUGUAGGAUGAGCUCGCGGCCUAUCAGCUUGUUGGUGGGGUAAUGGCCUACCAAGGCGGCGACGGGUAGCCGGCCUGAGAGGGUGGACGGCCACAUUGGGACUGAGAUACGGCCCAGACUCCUACGGGAGGCAGCAGUGGGGAAUAUUGCACAAUGGGCGCAAGCCUGAUGCAGCGACGCCGCGUGGGGGAUGACGGCCUUCGGGUUGUAAACUCCUUUCGCUAGGGACGAAGCUUUUUGUGACGGUACCUAGAUAAGAAGCACCGGCUAACUACGUG
rnacentral:rRNA from 1 species